GACAGAGGCCUCAAGCGUUAGGCGGAAUCACUGGGCUUAAAGCGUGUGUAGGCGGGUCGUUAAGUACCUUGUGAAAUCCCACGGCUCACCCGUGGAACUGCGUGGGUAUACUGGCGAUCGAUUGGGCCAACGAGGGGCAACUGGAACAAGCGGUGGAGCGGUGAAAUGCGUAGAUAUCAUCUGGAACGCCAAUGGUGAAGACAGCUCGCUGGGGGUGUUCUGACACUGAGACACGAAAGCCCAGGGGAGCAAA
rnacentral:rRNA from 1 species